AAAGGGAGACCUAAUUCAGGUAUAAGACGAAAAAAAAGUAGUCCCUACCAAGAAUCAAUCCCAAAAGGUCGGAACGAGGUAUGAGGCUUUCAAACUAGGUUCUGGGUUCAUAAAAGACCUGAAUCAGGAACAAGGGCUAUUAGCUCGGGUGGUUAGAGCGCACCCCUGAUAAGGGUGAGGUCCCUGGUUCGAGUCCAGGAUGGCCCACCUGCACAGGUGGCAAAAACAAGAGAAGCGAGGAAUCAGCACCUUAUCUUACUUAUAUAGUAAGAGAGAAUGCUGGCUCUGAGUAAAGAGUCCAGAGGAACCUUGAAAACUGCAUAGAGCUAGGUGAAAAAGCCAAAAAAGAAGACCGCAAG
rnacentral:tRNA from 1 species